UUUAGCGGCAAUAGAACAAUAUUCACACCAGUUUCCGAUGGAUCAUUGUAGUUCAACGUUGUAUGUGGUUGGUAUUCGGACGAGUGACCAUAUGGGAAAACACGCUCUGCUGCCAAGU
rnacentral:rRNA from 1 species